CUAGCUGUAAACGAUGGAUACUAGGCGUUGAGAGUAUCGACCCUCUCAGUGUCGUAGCUAACGCGUUAAGUAUCCCGCCUGGGGAGUACGCGCGCAAGCGUGAAACUCAAAGGAAUUGACGGGGGCCCGCACAAGCGGUGGAGUAUGUGGUUUAAUUCGAUGCAACGCGAAGAACCUCACCAGGGCUUGACAUGUCCGGAACCCUGCCCAAAGGCGGGGGUGCCUACGGGAACCGGAACACAGGUGGUGC
rnacentral:rRNA from 1 species